GAUGAACGCUGGCGGCGUGCCUAACACAUGCAAGUCGAACGAGAUGCGUAUUGGAAAGCUUCGGCCGGAAGAUGCGUUAUCUAGUGGCGGACGGGUGAGUAACACGUGGGUAACCUGCCUUAUGGAGGGGGAUAACAGAGAGAAAUCACUGCUAAUACCGCAUAAGCACACAUUGCCGCAUGGCAGAGUGUGAAAAGAUUUAUCGCCAUAAGAUGGACCCGCGUCUGAUUAGCCAGUUGGCAGGGUAAAAGCCUACCAAAGCAACGAUCAGUAGCCGAUCUGAGAGGAUGACCGGCCACAUUGGGACUGAGACACGGCCCAAACUCCUACGGGAGGCAGCAGUGGGGAAUAUUGCACAAUGGGGGAAACCCUGAUGCAGCGACGCCGCGUGAGUGAAGAAGUAUUUCGGUAUGUAAAGCUCUAUCAGCAGGGAAGAUAAUGACAGUACCUGACGAAGAAGCCCCGGCUAACUACGUG
rnacentral:rRNA from 1 species